UUAUUUCGUGCUUUCCUUCCUUAGUUUCUUACUCAAUGCUGCCGAUACAGUCCAGUAACGUUACAUGUCCCGUUGUCCUAUCUGUGAGCCAGAUCUACAUGUCAAGCGUAUCGCUCCAAGCAUUUGCGAAGUAAGCCAAGCAGACCACACAAGGCAACGGACAAGGUAGAAAAGAACAAGAAGACCAAGAACCCCGGUGAAUCUAAUCCUUACCAGGUCAUUCCGUUGAGGACCGGGAAUACAAGGCCAGGCUUCUGAGCAAACCUUGGCAACGGACGGUCAACAGCAUAUUGACUAUUGAUACCACUUCAAGGGAAUUAACGUCAGCCGCGUGUAGAAUGGAGAGUGCUGUAUUCAACGUGUGGCCAGGCCAUUUACUGCCCUUAUUGUCCUUGCGGGACAUCAUCCAGCUGUGUGGAACCUCCAAGCAUUUGAAGGCGCUGCUAAUCAAUGAAAAC